ACUACGGGAGGCUGCAGUGGGGAAUAUUGCACAAUGGGCGCAAGCCUGACGCAGCCAUGCCGCGUGUGUGAAGAAGGCCUUCGGGUUGUAAAGCACUUUCAGCGGGGAGGAAGGCGUUAAGGUUAAUAACCUUGGCGAUUGACGUUACCCGCAGAAGAAGCACCGGCUAACUCCGUGCCAGCAGCCGCGGUAAUACGGAGGGUGCAAGCGUUAAUCGGAAUUACUGGGCGUAAAGCGCACGCAGGCGGUCUGUCAAGUCGGGUGUGAAAUCCCCGGGCUCAACCUGGGAACUGCAUUCGAAACUGGCAGGCUAGAGUCUUGUAGAGGGGGGUAGAAUUCCAGGUGUAGCGGUGAAAUGCGUAGAGAUCUGGAGGAAUAUCGGUGGCGAAGGCGGCCCCCUGGACAAAGACUGACGCUCAGGUGCGAAAGCGUGGGGAGCAAACAGGAUUAGAUACCCCAGUAGUC
rnacentral:rRNA from 1 species